CCGCCAACUGGGCCACCAGGUUGGCCAGCUGCUCGCUGAGCGGCAAUGCGGCCGCGUUCCGGCCGCGGUCGGCGUC
rnacentral:tRNA from 4 species